rnacentral:rRNA from 1 species
GAUGAACGCUGGCGGCGUGCCUAAUACAUGCAAGUCGAGCGAACGGACGAGAAGCUUGCUUCUCUGAUGUUAGCGGCGGACGGGUGAGUAGCACGUGGAUAACCUACCUAUAAGACUGGGAUAACUUCGGGAAACCGGAGCUAAUACCGGAUGAUAUUUUGAACCGCAUGGUUCAAAAGUGAAAGACGGUCUUGCUGUCACUUAUAGAUGGAUCCGCGCUGCAUUAGCUAGUUGGUAAGGUAACGGCUUACCAAGGCAACGAUGCAUAGCCGACCUGAGAGGGUGAUCGGCCACACUGGAACUGAGACACGGUCCAGACUCCUACGGGAGGCGACAGUAGGGAAUCUUCCGCAAUGGGCGAAAGCCUGACGGAGCAACGCCGCGUGAGUGAUGAAGGUCUUCGGAUCGUAAAACUCUGUUAUUAGGGAAGAACAUAUGUGUAAGUAACUGUGCACAUCUUGACGGUACCUAAUCAGAAAGCCACGGCUAACUACGUG